GAUGACACAAAGUAACACCACCGCGAGGAAAGAAGUAUCUCUAGUGAGAUCAACAGUUUAGAUGACGGACCUUGCUAUGAAGACGUGCGUAGUCUCUCUGAUUAAGUGGUUCUCAACAGUUCAACAGUUCUUUAACAAAAUUGUGAAAUGUUUAGGACCACUUGACCAGUACGACAAAUGCUCCCACCUUUGGAAAAGAAGCUGCACUGUUCUCGAGUGACUCUAUACCAGAAAGGCCUAACGUUUGACUUUUUUUUUUUUUAACAACAGAGUGAAUUGCUCUGCUUUUCUUCUUCCUUAAUGCAUGCCUUUGUCUCCUACUCUCAUUGUGCCCCCUUGUGUUGCAAUCACACCUGCAAUCCAGGAGCUGCGGGGAGCUGUAAAAAUCUUCAGGGUUCAGUAAUUUCAUUCUGCUGGCGCACAUACAAAUUUUUUAACAGCUCUGCUGCUCCUGCUGCUGUAACACCCGUCUUUUUCACUGCUUUACUGUUGCUGCUGUUCAGAAGUCAAUAAAGAACCAUUUGUCUCUGA